UUUCAGGCGCUCUUGUGAAUCUUGAAUUCUUUACAGUAGAGGUAUAUUUUCAGUUACCAUGCUGGCAGAUACUUCUAAUUGUUAUUUUUUGCAAUUAAUGUUGUUAACUAAUUAUUGGUGCUUCGAAGUUUUUCAAGCUUGUGCACAAAUUUUUUCAUGCAAUUUAUCUUAGUUUUGGAGAGCCUAUUAUUGGCUGCUCAAGUUUAUAGGCAGGUUUGCAAGGUUGCAAUCUUCUGUAGAAGUCGUCAGGUAGCAAGGCCAUUGUUGGCUGCUCAAGGUUAUAGCCUUAUAGGCAAGUUUUGCUUAGCCUCCUAGAAAAUAUGCUGGAUGAUCCUCUACUUCUUGAACGUGCCAUAUCAUAUGUGACACAGUUAAAACAGGACAUCAAAAGCUUGGAGGUAUUGUCAAAUACUGGAUAACUGCAGCCAUUACCUUCUGAUACAAACUUCAAAGUGCCAGAUAACCUGCGCUCUCUGUCUGACCUUGCAUCACAAGGAUCCCUGAAAAUGUCCAUGUUUAAGCACAAUAUUUCUUGGGAGCAUUGCAUCGUCGGUGUCCAACCUAUUUCCUGAUAGAUAUCGUUCUUAGCCAUUAAAGAGGAGCAAGCUGGUUCUCAACCUUCCAUAUUGUUGCCGAAUGAGACCCCUCGCGAGGGCCAUGGUGAUGAUGUAAUAAAUAUUUGAACAGUUCUGAUUCUCGAGGACUGAUGACUUGGAUCGGGGACUGUAGAAAACAACAAACCAAAGAUG
rnacentral:lncRNA from 1 species